rnacentral:rRNA from 1 species
CCCGGGCCUUGUACACACCGCCCGUCACUCAUGAAAGUCGGUAACACCCGAAGCCAGUGGCCCAACCCUUGUGGGGGGAGCUGUCGAAGGUGGGAUCGGCGAUUGGGACG